rnacentral:rRNA from 1 species
GAUGAACGCUGGCGGUGUGCCUAAUACAUGCAAGUCGAGCGACCACACGAUAGUGCUUUCACUCUCUGGCUUUCGCGUCGCACGCGUGAGUAACACGCAUCUAACCUUCCUAUUUGACUGGGAUUACUUCGGGAAACCUUAGCUAAUUCCCGCUAACAUUUAGCUUCUCAUGACGCAAUAUUUUCAGACGGUUCUGCUUUCACUUAUAGAUGGACCCGCGGUGUAUUAGCUAGUUGGUGAGGUAACGGCUCACCAAGGCAACGAUACGUAGCCGAUCUGAGAGGGUGAUCGGCCACACUGGGACUGAGACACGGCCCAGACUCCUACGGGAGGCAGCAGUAGGGAAUAUUCGGCAAUGGGCGAAAGUCUGACGGAGCAAUGCCGCGUGAGUGAAGAAGGUUUUCGGGUCGUAAAGCUCUGUUGUAAGGGAAGAAAAGCUGCAGGAGUAAAUGAAGGUGUCUUGACGGUACCUUAAGAAAAAGCAACGGCUAACUACGUG